rnacentral:rRNA from 1 species
AACGAACGCUGGCGGCAUGCCUAACACAUGCAAGUCGAACGAGACCUUCGGGUCUAGUGGCGCACGGGUGCGUAACGCGUGGGAACCUGCCCUUAGGUUCGGAAUAACUCCCCGAAAGGGGUGCUAAUACCGGAUAAUGUCUUCGGACCAAAGAUUUAUCGCCUUUGGGUGGGCCCGCGUUGGAUUAGCUAGUUGGUAGGGUAAAAGCCUACCAACGCGACGAUCCAUAGCUGGUCUGAGAGGAUGAUCAGCCACACUGGGACUGAGACACGGCCCAGACUCCUACGGGAGGCAGCAGUGGAGAAUAUUGGACAAUGGGCGAAAGCCUGAUCCAGCAAUGCCGCGUGAGUGAUGAAGGCCUUAGGGUUGUAAAGCUCUUUUACCCGGGAUGAUAAUGACAGUACCGGGAGAAUAAGCUCCGGCUAACUCCGUG